CAGCAGCCACGGGAAUACGAAGGGGGCUAGCGUUGCUCGGAAUGACUGGGCGUAAAGGGCGCGUAGGCGGUUUUGACAGUCAGAUGUGAAAUUCCUGGGCUUAACCUGGGGGCUGCAUUUGAGACGUCAAGACUAGAGUGUGAGAGAGGGUUGUGGAAUUCCCAGUGUAGAGGUGAAAUUCGUAGAUAUUGGGAAGAACACCGGUGGCGAAGGCGGCAACCUGGCUCAUUACUGACGCUGAGGCGCGAAAGCGUGGGGAGCAAACAGGAUUAGAUACCCCCGUAGUCCCUGUCUCUUAUAA
rnacentral:rRNA from 1 species